rnacentral:rRNA from 1 species
AACGAACGCUGGCGGCAUGCCUAACACAUGCAAGUCGAACGAAGCCUUCGGGCUUAGUGGCGCACGGGUGCGUAACGCGUGGGAAUCUGCCCUUGGGUUCGGAAUAACAGUUAGAAAUGACUGCUAAUACCGGAUGAUGUCUUCGGACCAAAGAUUUAUCACCCAAGGAUAAGCCCGCGUAGGAUUAGGUAGUUGGUGGGGUAAUGGCCCACCAAGCCGACGAUCCUUAGCUGGUCCGAGAGGAUGAUCAGCCACACUGGGACUGAGACACGGCCCAGACUCCUACGGGAGGCAGCAGUGGGGAAUAUUGGACAAUGGGCGAAAGCCUGAUUCAGCAAUGCCGCGUGAGUGAUGAAGGCCUUAGGGUUGUAAAGCUCUUUUACCAGGGAUGAUAAUGACAGUACCUGGAGAAUAAGCUCCGGCUAACUCCGUGCCAGCCGCCGCCGUAAAAC